GUCAUAAUGGGACCCAUUAUUUUGUAUGC
rnacentral:piRNA from 1 species